AGAACAUACAACUUGUAUUUAUUUUAACUAGGCAAAUUCUCAUUUGUUUACUUGCUUUAUAGAGCAUAACUGAUAGUGGCAAUGUGGAAGAAAAUCUCUGCAUGGUUAUAAAAAUGAGAAUUUAAAAAAAAAAUAGUUCAGAGUGUUCUUUGUGCUAUGGCUGAAGCUAACUCUUUGGUUCUGAUGGAAAUUCUGGAAAUUCAUCACAGUUGAUGCUUAUGUAGGUGGAGUGGUAAUAAACCUGCAGUUUUUAGACUUGCGUGAGUAGGUAUGUGUUGAUUUAAAAAUAAAAGAAUGACACUUUUUUUUUUCUUGUAGACAAGAGGGAACUUCUGGAAAUUGCGAAAGCCAACGCUGCAAAAGCUCUGGGCACAGAUAACAUAGUCUUGCCAGCGAGCUUGAAGAUCCUUACUCCUUCCAAAGAGAUAAAAAAUGAAAAACAGGAGCAUGAAGAUCCUGGAGAGUCAGCUGAGAAACCACCGUAGACUUUGCGAUAAGCUGAAAGUACCACAGACUCCUCAGAGGUGGUUGAUCCACUGAGUACCUGCAGGCCUUCCAGCAGUGAUAGGUUGGGAAGGAGAGGUGAAUUUUCUUUGAGUUGUUUUCCUAAUAGGAUAUUGCCCAUUAAUGAGACUAAUUUACAUGUUUCUGGCCUAAAACAAGGAGUCUCCUUCCAAAAACCAGUAAAUACUGCGGGUUGUUUUUUUAAAGGUUAAAUCUUUCUACCCUUUGAACUGUUAAAAGCUUUUCAUGUGCAACAAACUGUUUCCCGGAAGUUACAUACCCAAGCACACAAUGCAUUUUACAUACUUUAUUUCUGUCUUUAUAGAAAUCAUGACUAUGGUUCCAGACAUGAUGAAGAAAAUCUGUUGGUAAUUAAGGGACUUGUGGGCUGUAGCUGCUGUGAAUUUAAGGGAGGGAGAAACUUGAGCAGCUUAAACUGAAUUUUAGUUUGACUCUGUUGUUAUAGCCUGUUAACCUGGUUCGUGGUAAAUACAAAGCUGCAAUAACUGUUACAUUGAUCAGAUACUGCUAUUUCAAAUGGAAAUAAAUUUACUAAGGGUUUUAGACAAAUGGUACAGGCAUCCCUUUCAUAAUAUAUGCAAUAUAUUCCAGAUGUUGAGAGAGUACAGAAGAAGAGGCCUGCAUCACUUGCAGAUAAGUUUAUUGUCGUUAUCCAAAGCUCUGCAGGAUGGAUAUGCAGAACUUCAUGUGUCCUACUUUACCAUGACACCUCAUCCCAUGGCAGUCCGUGCUCCCAAUUGUUUGAAUCCUUCUUAAAACUCUUAACUGGGGCACAGAUAUCAGGUCACGUGUGAAUUGGCACAAUGACAUUGGUAAAAAAUACCAAAUGGUUUUCAAAUUGAGUUCAGCAUCGAUCUGUUUGCGUAUUUAGUAGCUUACAGCUACUUUUGAUGUAAAUACCUGAAUCGGCUCUACCUGAAAGUUCAUUUUCUGUAGUAACUGCCUUAAAUUGCACGGAAUAACGUAUCCUCCCACUGAAGCUGUGUGUGCUCUUCUCUAGCAACCCAGAAGACUUGCAGAAGACGUGACCAAAA